AGAGUUUGAUCCUGGCUCAGAUUGAACGCUGGCGGCAGGCUUAACACAUGCAAGUCGAGCGGAGUGAUUGUGCUUGCACAAUCACUUAGCGGCGGACGGGUGAGUAAUGCCUAGGAAUCUGCCAUUUAGUGGGGGACAACAUUCCGAAAGGAAUGCUAAUACCGCAUACGUCCUACGGGAGAAAGCAGGGGAUCUUCGGACCUUGCGCUAAAUGAUGAGCCUAAGUCGGAUUAGCUAGUUGGUGGGGUAAAGGCCUACCAAGGCGACGAUCUGUAGCGGGUCUGAGAGGAUGAUCCGCCACACUGGGACUGAGACACGGCCCAGACUCCUACGGGAGGCAGCAGUGGGGAAUAUUGGACAAUGGGCGGAAGCCUGAUCCAGCCAUGCCGCGUGUGUGAAGAAGGCCUUUUGGUUGUAAAGCACUUUAAGCGAGGAGGAGGCUACCUAGAUUAAUACUCUAGGAUAGUGGACGUUACUCGCAGAAUAAGCACCGGCUAACUCUGUGCCAGCAGCCGCGGUAAUACAGAGGGUGCGAGCGUUAAUCGGAUUUACUGGGCGUAAAGCGUGCGUAGGCGGCUGAUUAAGUCGGAUGUGAAAUCCCUGAGCUUAACUUAGGAAUUGCAUUCGAUACUGGUCAGCUAGAGUAUGGGAGAGGAUGGUAGAAUUCCAGGUGUAGCGGUGAAAUGCGUAGAGAUCUGGAGGAAUACCGAUGGCGAAGGCAGCCAUCUGGCCUAAUACUGACGCUGAGGUACGAAAGCAUGGGGAGC
rnacentral:rRNA from 1 species